rnacentral:miRNA from 1 species
UUCUCGAUUGUUCUGGUCCA